rnacentral:tRNA from 1 species
UCCCUGGUAGCUCAGCUGGUAAAGAAUCCACCUGCAAUGUGGGAGAUCCUGGUUCAAUUCCUGGUCAGGAAG